rnacentral:rRNA from 1 species
CCGCCGCGGUAAUACGGAGGAUCCAAGCGUUAUCCGGAAUCAUUGGGUUUAAAGGGUCCGUAGGCGGUCUUGUAAGUCAGUGGUGAAAGCCCAUCGCUCAACGGUGGAACGGCCAUUGAUACUGCAGGACUUGAAUUAUUGGGAAGUAACUAGAAUAUGUAGUGUAGCGGUGAAAUGCUUAGAGAUUACAUGGAAUACCAAUUGCGAAGGCAGGUUACUACCAAUUGAUUGACGCUGAUGGACGAAAGCGUGGGUAGCGAACAGGAUUAGAUACCCCGGUAGUCCCUGUCUCUUAUACACA